rnacentral:rRNA from 1 species
CCUACGGGUGGCUGCAGUGGGGAAUAUUGCACAAUGGGCGCAAGCCUGAUGCAGCGACGCCGCGUGAGCGAUGAAGGCCUUCGGGUCGUAAAGCUCUGUCCUAAGGGAGGAAUAUUAAAGUUCCCUAGGGGGAAGCCCCGGGUAACUACGGGGCCGCAGGCGCGGUAAAACGGAGGGGGCGGAAGGUAACCGGAAUCACUGGGCGGAAAGGGUGCGUAGGCGGGCCUGCAAGUCAGGAGUUAAAUCCCUCGGCUCAACCGAGGUCAGCUCUUGAAACUGUAGGGCUUGAGUGCAGGAGAGGAGAGCGGAAUUCCUAGUGUAGCGGUGAAAUGCGUAGAUAUUAGGAGGAACACCAGUGGCGAAGGCGGCUCUCUGGACUGCAACUGACGCUGAGGCACGAAAGCGUGGGGAGCGAACAGGAUUAGAUACCCGAGUAGUC